rnacentral:rRNA from 1 species
GGAGUUAGCCGGUGCUUCUUCUGUGAGUGAUGUCCUUCCUGCCGGCUAUUAACCCGCAGGCCUUCUUCCUCACUGAAAGUGCUUUACAACCCGAAGGCCUUCUUCACACACGCGGCAUGGCUGGAUCAGGGUUGCCCCCCAUUGUCCAAUAUUCCCCACUGCUGCCUCCCGUAGGAGUCUGGGCCGUGUCUCAGUCCCAGUGUGGCUGAUCAUCCUCUCAGACCAGCUACGGAUCGUCGCCUUGGUGAGCCGUUACCUCACCAACCAGCUAAUCCGACAUAGGCUCAUCCGAUAGCGCGAGGCCCGAAGGUCCCCCGNUUUCCCCCGUAGGGCGUAUGCGGUAUUAGCCUGGGUUUCCCCAGGUUAUCCCCCACUACCGGGCAGAUUCCUAUGCAUUACUCACCCGUCCGCCGCUCGCCACCAGGGAGCAAGCUCCCCGUGCUGCCGCUCGACUUGCAUGUGUUAGGCCUGCCGCCAGCGUUCAAUCUGAACCAAGAUCAAACUCUGA